CGUGAUGUUGUGGAACACGCGGUUGAGGAUGCCGUAGUCCCGGUCCAUGGUGGCGAGCGCCCCGCGCAGCCAGUCCCACUCCGUCGAGUCGUAGUGCGGCAACGCCGGGUGGGUGUGCUGCAGGUAGGUGAUCAGGACCAGCCACGCGUUCACGAUCAACAGCGGCACGCCGUAGACCCGCACCACCCACCAGAACCCAAAGGCCGACGCGAGCUUGAACAAGGCGAGGGACACGGCAAGCACGCCGACGUCCGAGAUGAAGACCUGGGCGCGCUCCCGGUCGUUGUAGAUCGGGCUGUAGGGGUCGAAGUGGCAGGCGAAGCGCGGGUACGGGCGGCCGCAGGUGUUGAGCGAUAGGUACAUCGGCCACCCAAUGGUGAGCUGCACGACGAGGAGCCCCAGACGUCCGACGGGGUUGUUGUAGAUGUAGGGGGCGUACCACGCCAGCGCCUCCUUCUGCUUGGGGACGAACACCUCGUCGCGCUCCAGCGAGCCGGUGUUGGAAUGGUGGCGGCGGUGGCUGUACUUCCUCGAGAAGUAGGGGACGAGCAGCCACGAGUGGAGUACCAGGCCGACGAUGUCGUCGAGCAGCGAGGAGUCGGAGAAGGCGUUGUGGCCGCACUCGUGCGCGAUGACCCAGACGCCGGUCAUGACGCAGCCCUGCAGGACCCAGUAGAGCGGCCAGGCGCCCAGCUGCAGCACGCUCGGGAGGGUGGGGAUCCAGACCAGCGCCACGUACAGUAGGGCCCCGACGAUGACGAGGUCAUGGACCAGGUAGGAGAAUGACUUGAUCACCGAACGCUGGAAGCAGUGAGGCGGGAUUGCCUUCUUGAUCUGGGCCAGUGUGAACGGCGGCUUGUCCGUCGGCGAGCGCUGGAAGGUCGCGCCGGCGCCGCCGCGGCCGAAUAGCUCCCGCUCCUUCUCUGUCAUCCUGCCGCCGGCACCCAUGAUGCUGCUGAUGACAACGACGAAAAACAACGGUGGUCAGACAGUACGUAUGAAGUAUUGAAGUUAUGUAUCAUUCAAGAACGAAGAUACUGUAUAUUCUAACGGAUGAUUCUACAAGCAGAUGGCCAUGAACGACGAUAUCUAGCAAGUUGGUUAUACUUUACCAAUGUACUUCUGCUCUGCGAGCGCACGAGAGGGCAUCGAGGCAAGCCCGGCACGAGCACCCACGGUGGUGGGAGUAAAUUGCACGGAAGUACCACAAUUGGGGCAUUGGAAGCAGAUUGGUACCAAGUUUGGUAAUUUUUGCGUGUCAGUACCAAGUCUGGGGCUAGACGUUACAAAAAGGUCUAAAUCGCGUAUAAACGCGUAUUGACGGUGUAUCUGACCAGCGGGCCCGCAUGUUAGCUGCCGACGUGGCAUUUUUUUGCAGAAAUCCCCCGCACAAGGAGGGGCGAGGACUGGCGGCGGCCACCACAGCGAACGGUCGGCGCCGCUGGGGAGGAAAGGGGCGGCCUCGUCGCGGCCCCCAGUGCGGCCAGGCGCGGCGAGAGGCGCGCACCGAGGCGGGNNNNNNNNNNNNNNNNNNNNNNNNNNNNNNNNNNNNNNNNNNNNNNNNNNNNNNNNNNNNNNNNNNNNNNNNNNNNNNNNNNNNNNNNNNNNNNNNNNNNNNNNNNNNNNNNNNNNNNNNNNNNNNNNNNNNNNNNNNNNNNNNNNNNNNNNNNNNNNNNNNNNNNNNNNNNNNNNNNNNNNNNNNNNNNNNNNNNNNNNNNNNNNNNNNNNNNNNNNNNNNNNNNNNNNNNNNNNNNNNNNNNNNNNNNNNNNNNNNNNNNNNNNNNNNNNNNNNNNNNNNNNNNNNNNNNNNNNNNNNNNNNNNNNNNNNNNNNNNNNNNNNNNNNNNNNNNNNNNNNNNNNNNNNNNNNNNNNNNNNNNNNNNNNNNNNNNNNNNNNNNNNNNNNNNNNNNNNNNNNNNNNNNNNNNNNNNNNNNNNNNNNNNNNNNNNNNNNNNNNNNNNNNNNNNNNNNNNNNNNNNNNNNNNNNNNNNNNNNNNNNNNNNNNNNNNNNNNNNNNNNNNNNNNNNNNNNNNNNNNNNNNNNNNNNNNNNNNNNNNNNNNNNNNNNNNNNNNNNNNNNNNNNNNNNNNNNNNNNNNNNNNNNNNNNNNCCGUAGGGGAUGGGCAGUGGGGCGCGAGGAGGUCGACGGAGACGAUGACGACGUGGAGGCAGACCGGCGAGGUAGCGUCCCGGGCGGCGGCGGAUCCGAGGGAGCGAGGAGGGGCGAGGACGUCCUGCGGGGAUGACGGCUUACAUCGGGCGCGGGCGUGCAGGAGAAGGGGAUCGAACAAGGGCGCCCCUCCCCUAUUUGUCAGCGCGUGCGUGUGGGUGACUGCGCGCAGGGGGAAUGAGGGAGAUCGACGGAGUGGGGGUGCGCGGGUUAGGGACGUCCUGCUCCGGUGGCCGGCCGGCGGCGAGGCGAGGAGGAGGCCGGGGCGAGGCGGGGGUUACGGGAGGCGAACGAGCUCGGGCUCGAGGGGCUCCUCCCCUCAAUCCAGAUCGGGUGCCGCCGCGCUUGAGGACGAAGGAGGUGCGAGGGGGUUUCUGCAAAAGAAAUGCCACAUCGGCAGCUGACAUGCAGACCCCGCUGGUCAGAUACACCGUCAAUACGCGUUUAUACGCGAUUUAGACCCUUUUUGUAACGUCUAGCCCCAGGCUUGGUACUGACACGUAAAAAAUACCAAACUUGAUACCAAUCUGCUUCCAAUGGCUCAAUUGUGGUACUUCUGUGUAAUUUACUCCGGUGGUGGUGGCGAAAAAGAUUUUGUGGAUCCCGUCUCCAAAUAUGGAACCGUGCAUACCGGAUCGCAUCUGCCGCCACCUGUCCAACAUCAUCAUCCCACGGUAGCCAGCCCAGCAGCCCUCCGCUGCGAUCGGCUCCUUUCCCACGUACGCGCUCGGCUCCGUUUCCAUACGCACGCGAUUGGCAUGGCACGUUUGCAGAUCGCGGCAUGUGCGAGCAUCCGCGACAUGCUCAGAUUUUUUUUCGGAUGCGUGCCCCACCAGCUGCUUCACAUGUACUGCUAAGCUAAAUUCAUAUGUAACCAUAUGCCUCUUCUCGAGCUCCCAUUUAAGACACACAUUUUCUUUCUCUAAGAGCAUCUACAGCCGGACCUCUCAAAGCGGCCUCAUACGCCCGGACGGACUGCCCGCUCACUUUUUUGGACCCAGACGGACGCCUCAAACGGGGCUCAAACGCCCGGACUGACCGUCACUCCUCAUAUCCAGCCCAAAUAUGAUGCAGAUAUGGGGUGGCCCGGGCACGCCCGGGCGCGUCCGCCUCACAAGCCCAGCCCACCACCGACCCCAUGGAUGUCCCACAAAAAAAACCAUCGGCCUCGUCGGUCCGAAACCCUAGCUCACUCACUCUUCUCUCUCGCUCGGUCCUCUCCCCUCAUCGAUUCCGGUCGAAUCCGUCGCAAUGUCGAGCUCCGGCAGCCGCUCCAACGACAAGGUGGAUCCGGAGUAUGAGCUUGCCCUCCGCAUCGCCUUGGAGCGGUCCAAGGUGGAGACCGGGGGCAGCUUCGGAUCUGCAACCUCGCCGCGGUUGCAGCUUCCCCUCGGUGCAUCUCGAACGCCGAUGCUGGCCCCUCCCGGCCCAUGGGCAGCUCCGACAGGCGGCCAUCGCAAUCGGCGCCUUCCCUACGCAUCCCUUGCCCCGCCGGCUGCUGCUUCCCCACGCCAUUCCCUCGCCCUACCGGCUUCUGCUCCCCCUCGUGGGUAGCGGUGGGUGCUUGUGCCCGCCCCGCCAGCCUGGACGCGCCCGCCGCCCGCCGCGGGAGGCAGUGGGCAAGGGAGAGUGAGGUUGUGGAGAGCUCCGCCCUCCGCCGGCGUGGGUUACCAGCGGAGCCCGACGAGGACCAGCGGCUCCUCGCGUGGGUCUACCGCCGUUCUCUUACGACGACGGAGACGGACGCUCAGCGGCUCCGUCAUAAGAACACCAAGGCUCUUCGUCUUGCCAUCGAGCAGUCCGAGGGGGAGGCGUUGGAGAAGGCGAAGGAGGCGGCUCAGCUGGCCAAGCUCAGGCACCAGCAGGACCGGGCCAUCCAGCACCUCAAGGGCCUCGUCAUCAUCGACUCCUCCUCCGACGACGGCCACGGCUCCUUCUCCGAUGAAUCGGACGAUCCUCUACCAGCCACCGACGGGUACAGCUCCGCCAGCGACCAGAAGGGGAAAGGGCCAGCCCGGAAGUGGUGAAGUUGAUUUAAUUUCAAGUUUUAGAUGUAGUAUAAAGUUGUCUAUCAUUUAUGUGAACUUUGGUGGAUCUUUUGGUGAACUAUUGUCCUAUUUCCAUGUCCGGAGCUGAUGUUUCAUCGACGUUGCAUGAUAUAGAUGGAUAUAGGGGUUCGGAUAUGAGAGACAUGGAUGUGGACGACGCGGUUUGAGGACUGCACGGACACUGUCCGUGGACGUGUUCGGGCGCGUCCGCGGGCGUUUGAGGGCCCGGAUUUGCCAAGUCCGGUUGUAAAUGCUCUAACUCUAUCUUCUCCCACAAGAUUGCUAACUUGUUUAUCUUAAUUUGCAACUUGGUGUUCACCCUCUCCCGGUGACAAAAUGAAACAAUUCAACUUAUGUGAGUUGACACUCCUAUACCACAUUGAGGGCGGCCAAUCACUUGCGAUAGUAGCCCACAUACUCGUUCACUUCUCUUGAAUGAUACACCAUUGAUGUUGGAGGAAGCCAUAUUGCGGGUGUUAACGAUAGGAUGUGGCUCCAAUACUUACUUCCCCUUUGCUCCAUGCCACAUACAGGGUCCAUGCUUAUGGUCAACCAAGCUUUAACCAAGAAGAAGAUACCCUUAAAUAUUGUGAAUGUCAUACCUUUUGCUCUGGCCAUAUUUGCCUUUCUUUUCCUUUUGGAGUUUGAUGUUCCGCCAACUUCAAACGUAGGACAAUUUGAAUCCCCCAAGAAAUAGUCCAUUUGGUAGGUUAUUGAUUCAUAUUGAUUAUGCCCGACAUGAUAUUGUCCUAACAUUAUCACGACGGCAAAUAAACUAACUGUAUAUGCAACUAAUUGAUAAUUGAUUCAAUGGCAUAUGCAAGGUAUUGAUCGGAAAGGAUCAAAACAUGUAUUGUCUCCUGCUACAUCAUUCCAUCAAACGGGAUGUGGGCAGACCAGGCGCCACCGUUGUCGUGCUUGUCCGCUCCUGUUGCAGCUACAGCGAGUCACACAUGUUGUCCUCCGCCGCUUGCGUUGGUGGAAAACAGUCUGAAAUGGCCCAUCCGGCUGUCAAACUGCCGUUAGUCGCGGGUGGACUAGACGCCGUGUUGGGAAACGUAGUAAUUUCAAAAAAAUUCCUACGCACACGCAAGAUCAUGGUGAUGCAUAGCAACGAGAGGGGAGAGUAUUGUCCACGUACUCUUGUAGACCGAAAGCGGAAGCGUUAGCACAACGCGGUUGAUGUAGUCGUACGUCUUCACGGCCCGACCGAUCAAGCACCGAAAGCACGACACAUUCGAGUUCUUGCACACGUUCAGCUCGAUGACGUCCCUCGAACUCUGAUCCAACCGAGCGUCGAGGGAGAGUUCCGUCAGCACGACGGCGUGGUGACGAUGAUGAUGUUCUACCGUCGCAGGGCUUCGCCUAAGCACCGCUACGAUAUUAUUGAGGAGGACUAUGGUGGAGGAGGGCACCGCACACGGCUAAGAGAUCAAUGAUCGAUUGUUGUGUCUCCAAGGGGUGCCCCCUCCCCGUAUAUAAAGGAGUGGAGGAGGGGGAGGGCCGGCCCUCUCUAUGGCGCGCCCUAGGAGGAGUCCUACUCCCACCGGGAGUAGGAUUCCCCCCUUCCAAGUAGUAGGAGUAGGAGUCAAGGAAUGGGGAGAGAGAAGAGAAGGAAGGAGGGGGCACAGCCCUUCCCCCUAGUCCAAUUCGGACUAGGCCUUGGGGGGGGCGCCCAACCUCUCCUCUCUCUUUCCCCUAAAGCCCAAUAAGGCCCAUAUACUCCCUGGCGAAUUUCCGUAACUCUCCGGUACUCCGAAAAAUACCCAAAUCACUCGGAACCUUUCCGAUGUCCGAAUAUAGUCGUCCAAUAUAUGAAUCUUUACGUCUCGACUAUUUCAAGACUCCUCGUCAUGUCCCCGAUCUCAUCCGGGACUCCGAACUCCUUCGGUACAUCAAAACUCAUAAACUCAUAAUAAAACUGUCAUCGAAACCUUAAGCGUGCGGACCAUACGGGUUCGAGAACUAUGUAGACAUGACCGAAACACGUUUCCGGUCAAUAAUCAAUAGUGGAACCUGGAUGCUCAUAUUGGCUCCUACAUAUUCUACAAAGAUCUUUAUCGGUCAAACCGCAUAACAACAUACGUUGUUCCCUUUGUCAUCGGUAUGUUACUUGCCCGAGAUUCGAUCGUCGGUAUCUCAAUACCUAGUUCAAUAUCGUUACCAGCAAGUCUCUUUACUCGUUAUGUAAUGCAUCAUCCCGCAACUAACUCAUUAGUCACAUUGCUUGCAAGGCUUAUAGUGAUGUGCAUUACCGAGAGGGCCCAGAGAUACCUCCCCGACAAUCGGAGUGACAAAUCCUAAUCUCAAAAUACGCCAACUCAACAAGUACCUUCAGAGACACCUGUAGAGCUCCUUUAUAAUCAACCAGUUACGUUGUGACGUUUGGUAGCACACAAAGUGUUCCUCCGUAAACGGGAGUUGCAUAAUCUCAUAGUCAUAGGAACAUGUAUAAGUCAUGAAGAAAGCAAUAGCAACAUACUAAACGAUCAAGUGCUAAGCUAACGGAAUGGGUCAAGUCAAUCACAUCAUUCUUCUAAUGAUGUGAUCUCGUUAAUCAAAUGACAACUCAUGUCUAUGGCUAGGAAACUUAACCAUCUUUAAUUCACGAGCUAGUCAAAUAGAGGCAUACUAGUGACACUAUGUUUGUCUAUGUAUUCACACAUGUAUUAUGUUUCCGGUUAAUACAAUUCUAGCAUGAAUAAUAAACAUUUAUCAUGAAAUAAGGAAAUAAAUAAUAACUUUAUUAUUGUCUCUAGGGCAUAUUUCCUUCAGUCUCCCACUUGCACUAGAGUCAAAAAAUCUAGUUCACAUCGCCAUGUGAUUUAACACCAAUAUUCAUAUCUGUAUAUGAUUAACACCCAUAGUUGACAUCGUCAUGUGACCAACACACAAAGGGUUUACUAGAGUCAAUAAUCUAGUUCACAUAGCUAUGUGAUUAACACCCAAAGAGUACUAAGGUAUGAUCAUGUUUUGCUCGUGAGAGAAGCUUAGUCAACAGGUCUGUCACAUUCAGAGCCGUAUGUAUUUUGCAAAUAUUCUAUGUCUACAAUGCUCUGCACGGAGCUACUCUAGCUAAUUGCUCCCACUUUCAAUUUGUAUCCAGAUUGAGACUUAGAGUCAUCUGGAUCGGUGUGAAAGCUUGCACCGAUGUAACUCUUUACGGCGGGCUCUUUUAUCACCUCCAUAAUCGAGAAAUAUUUCCUUAGUCCUCACUAAGGAUAUUCUUGACCAAUGUCCAGCGAUCUACUCCUAGAUCACUAUUGUACUCCCUUGCCAAAUUCAGAGCAAGGUAUACAAUAGGUCUGGUACAUAGCAUAGCAUACUUUAUAGAACCUAUGACUGAGGCAUAGGGAAUGACUUUCAUUCUCUUUUCUAUUUUCUACCGUGGUCGGGAUUUGAGUCUUACUCAAUUUCACACCUUUGCAACACAGGCAAGAACUCUUUCUUUGACUGUUCCAUUUUGAACUAUUUCAAAAUCUUGACAAGGUAUGUACUUAUUGAAAAACUUAUCAAGCAUCUUGAUCUAUCUCAAUAGAUCUUGAUGCUCAAUAUGUAAGUAGCUUUACUGAGGUAUUUCUUUUAAAGAACUCCUUUCAAAUACUCCUUUAUGCUUUUCAGAAAAAUUCUACAUCAUUUCUGAUCAACAAUAUGUUACUCACAUAUAUUUAUCAGAAAGGCGGUAGUGCUCCCACUCACUUUAUUGUAAAUACAGGCUUCACCGCAAGUAUGUAUAAAAUUAUAUGCUUUGAUCAACUUAUCAAAGCGUAUAUUCCAACUCUGAGAUGCUUGCACCAGUCCAUAGAUGGAUCGCUGGAGCUUGCACAUUUUGUUAGCACCUUUAGGAUUGACAAAACCUUCUGGUCGCAUCAUAUAAAACUCUUCUUUAAGAAAACCAUUAAGGAAUGCAGUUUUGACAUCCAUUUGCCAGAUUUCAUAAAAUGUGGCAAUUGCUAAUAUGAUUCGGACAGACUUAAGCAUCGCUACAGUUGAGAAAAUCUCAUUGUAGUCAACACCUUGAACUUGUCGAAAACCUUUUUGCGACAAGUCAAGCUUUGUAGAUAGUAACACUACUAUCAGCGUCUGUCUUCCUCUUGAAGAUCCAUUUAUACAAUAUGGCUUGCCGAUCAUCGGGCAACUCCAACAAAGUCCACACUUUGUUCUCAUACAUGGAUCCCAUCUCAGAUUUCAUGGCCUCAAGCCAUUUCGUGGAAUCUGGGCUCAUCAUCGCUUCCUCAUAGUUCGUAGGUUCAUCAUGGUCUAAUAACAUGACUUCCAGAACAGGAUUACUGUACCACUCUGGUGCGGACUGUACUUUGGAAGACCUACGAGGUUUUGUAGUAACUUAAUCUGAAGCUUCAUGAUCAUCAUCAUUAGCUUCCUCACUAAUUGGUGUAGGAAUCACUGGAGCUGAUUUCUGUGAUGAAUUACUUUCCAAUUCGGGAGAAGGUACAAAUUACCUUAUCAAGCUCUACUUUCCUCCCACUCACUUCUUGCGAGAGAAACUCCUUCUCUAGAAAGGAUCCAUUCUUAGCAACAAAUGUUUUGCCUUUGGAUCUGUGAUAGAAGGUGUACCCAACAGUUUCCUUUGGGUAUUCUAUGAAGACGCACUUCUCCUAUUUGGGUUCGAGCUUAUCAGGUUGAAACUUUUUUCACAUAAGCAUCGCAAAUCCAAACUUUAAGAAACGACAGCUUAGGUUUACUGCUAAACCAUAGUUCAUACGGUGUCGUCUCAACGGAUUUAGAUGGUGCCCUAUUUAAAGUGAAUGCAGCUAUCUCUAAUGCAUAACCCCAAAACGGUAGUGGUAAAUCAGUAAGAUACAUCAUAGAUCACACCAUAUCCAAUAAAGUGCGGUUACGAUGUUCGGACACACCAUUACGCUGUGGUGUUCCAUGUGGCGUGAACUGUGAAACUUUUCCAUAUUGUUUAAAAUGAAGGCCAAACUCGUAACUCAAAUAUUCUUCUCUAUGAUCAGAUUGUAGAAACUUUAUUUUCUUGUUACGAUGAUUCUCCACUUUACUCUGAAAUUCUUUGAACUUUUCAAAUGUUUCAGACUUGUGCUUCAUUAAGUAGAUAUACACAUAUCUACUCAAAUCAUCUGUGAAGGUCAGAAAAUAACGAUACCCGCCACGAGCAUCAACACUCAUUGGACCGCAUACAUCGGUAUGUAUUGUUUCCAACAAGUUAGUAGCUCGUUCCGUUGUUCCGAAGAACGGAGUUUUAGUCAUCUUGCCAAAAAGGCACGGUUCGUAAGCAUUAAAUGAUUCAUAACCAAGUGAUUCCGAAAAUCCAUCUUUAUGGAGUUUCUUCAUGUGCUUUACACCGAUAUGACCCAAACGGCAGUGCCACAAAUAAGUUGCACUAUCAUUAUUAACUUUGCAUCUUUUGGCAUCAACAUUGUGAAUAUGUGUAUCACUACGAUCGAGAUCCAACAAACUAUUUUCAUUGGGUGUAUGACCAUUGAAGGUUUUAUUCAUGUAAACAGAACAACAAUUAUUCUCUGACUUGAAAUCAAUAACCGUAUUGUAAUAAACAUGAUCAAAUCAUAUUCAUGCUCAACGCAAAUGUCAAAUAACAUUUAUUUAGGUUUAACACUAAUCCCGAAAGUAUAGGGAGUGUGUGAUGAUGAUCAUAUCAUUCUUGGAACUACUUCCAACACUCAUCGUCACUUCCCCUUCAACUAGUCCCUGUUUAUUCUGUAACUCCUGUUUCGAGUUACUAAUCUUAGCAACCGAACAAGUAUCAAAUACCCAGGUGUUACUAUAAACGCUAGUAAGGUACACAUCAAUAACAUGUAUAUCAAAUAUACCCUUGUUCACUUUGUCAUCCUUCUUAUCCACCAAAUAUUCAGGGUAUUUCCGCUUCUAGUGACCAUUUCCUUUGCAAUAGAAGCACUCAGUUUCAGGCUUUGGUCCAGCUUUGGGCUUCCUCGCGGGAGUGACAACUUGCUUGUCAUUAUACUUGAAGUUCCCUUUCUUUCCCUUUGCCCUUUUCUUGAAACUAGUGGUCUUGUCAAUCAUCAACACUUGAUGCUCUUUCUUGAUUUCUACCUUCGUCGAUUUCAACAUCACGAAGAGCUCGGGAAUCGUUUUCAUCAUCCCUUGCAUACUAUAGUUCAUCACGAAGUUCUAGUAACUUGGUGAUGGUGACUAGAGAACUCUCUCAAUCAUUAUCUUAUCUGGAAGAUUAACUCCCACUUGAUUCAAGCGAUUGUAGUACCCAGACAAUCUGAGCACAUGCUCACUAGUUGAGCGAUUCUCCUCCAUCUUUUAGCUAUAGAACUUGUUGGAGACUUCAUAUGUCUCAACUCGGGUAUUUGCUUGAAAUAUUAACUUCAAUUCUUGGAACAUCUCAUAUGGUCCAUGACGUUCAAAACGUCUUUGAAGUCCUGAUUCUAAGCCGUUAAGCAUGGUGCAGUAAACUAUCAAGUAGUCAUCAUAUUGAGCUAGCCAAACGUUCAUAACGUCUGCAUCUGCUCCUGCAAUAGGUCUGUCACCUAGCGGUGCAUUAAGGACAUAAUUCUUCUGUGCAGCAAUGAGGAUAAACCUCAGAUCAUGGAUCCAAUCUGCAUCAUUGCUACUAACAUCUUUCAACACAAUUUUCUCUAGGAACAUAUCAAAAUAAACAUAUGAAAGCAACAACGCGAGCUAUUGAUCUACAACAUAAUUUGCAAAAUACUACCAGGACUAAGUUCAUGAUAAAUUUAAGUUCAGUUAAUCAUAUUACUUAAGAACUCCCACUUAGACAGACAUCUCUCUAGUCAUCUAAGUGAUCACAUGAUCCAAAUCAACUAAACCAUGUCCGAUCAUCACGUGAGAUGGAGUAGUUUUCAAUGGUGAACAUCACUAUGUUGAUCAUAUCUACUAUAUGAUUCAUGCUCGACCUUUCGGUCUCCGUGUUCCGAGGCCAUAUCUGCAUAUGCUAGGCUUGUCAAGUUUAACCUGAGUAUUCUGCGCGUGCAAAACUAGCUUGCACCCGUUGUAGAUGGACGUAGAGCUUAUCACACCCGAUCAUCACGUGGUGUCUAGGCACGACGAACUUUGGCAACGGUGCAUACUCGGGGAGAACACUUUUAUCUUGAAAUUUAGUGAGAGAUCAUCUUAUAAUGCUACCAUCAAUCAAAGCAAGAUAAGAUGCAUAAAAGAUAAACAUCACAUGCAAUCAAUAUAAGUGAUAUGAUAUGGCCAUCAUCAUCUUGUGCUUGUGAUCUCCAUCUCUGAAGCACCGUCAUGAUCACCAUCGUUACCGGCGCGACACCUUGAUCUCCAUCAUAGCAUCAUUGUCGUUACGCCAUCUAUUGCUUCUACGACUAUCGCUACCGCUUAGUGAUAAAGUAAAGCAAUUACAGGGCGUUUGCAUUUCAUACAAUAAAGCGACAACCAUAUGGCUCCUGCCAGUUGCCGAUAACUUCGGUUACAAAACAUGAUCAUCUCAUACAAUAAAAUAUAGCAUCACGUCUUGACCAUAUCACAUCACAACAUGUCCUGCAAAAACAAGUUAGACGUCCUCUACUUUGUUGUUGCAAAUUUUAGGUGGCUGCUACGGGCUGAGCAAGAACCAUUCUUACCUACGCAUAAAAACCACAACGAUAGUUUGUCAAGUUAGUGUUGUUUUAACCUUCGCAAGGACCGGGCGUAUCCACACUCGGUUCAACUAAGUUGGAGAAACAGACACCCGCUAGUCACCUGUGUGCAAAGCACGACGGUAAAACCAGUCUCGCGUAAGCGUACGCGUAAUGUCGGUCCGGGCCGCUUCAUCCAACAAUACCGCUGAACCAAAGUAUGACAUGCUGGUAAGCAGUAUGACUUGUAUCACCCACAACUCACUUGUGUUCUACUCGUGCAUAUAACAUCAACGCAUAAAACCUAGGCUCGGAUGCCACUGUUGGGGAACGUAGUAAUUUCAAAAAAAUUCCUACGCACACACAAGAUCAUGGUGAUGCAUAGCAACGAGAGGGGAGAGUGUUGUCCACGUACCCUCGUAGACCGAAAGCGGAAGCGUUAGCACAACGCGGUUGAUGUAGUCGUACGUCUUCACGGCCCAACCAAUCAAGCACCGAAAGCAUGGCACCUCCGAGUUCUUGCACACGUUCAGCUCGAUGACGUCCCUCGAACUCCGAUCCAGCCGAGUGUCGAGGGAGAGUUCCGUCAGCACGACAGCGUGGUGACGAUGAUGAUGUUCUACCGUCGCAGGGCUUCGCCUAAGCACCGCUACGAUAUUAUCGAGCAGGACUAUGGUGCAGGGGGGCACCGCACACGGAUAAGAGAUCAAUGAUCAAUUGUUGUGUCUCCAAGGGGUGCCCCCCUCCCCGUAUAUAAAGGAGUGGAGGAGGGGGAGGGUCGACUCUCUCUAUGGCGCGCCCUAGGAGGAGUCCUACUCCCACCGGGAGUAGGAUUCCACCCCUUCCAAGUAGUAGGAGUAGGAGUCAAGGAAAGGUGAGAGAGAAGAGAAGGAAGGAGGGGGCGCAACCCUUCCCCCUAGUCCAAUUCGGACUAGACCUUGGGGGGCGCCCAACCUCUCCUCUCUCUUUCCCCUAAAGCCCAAUAAGGCCCAUAUACUCCCCGGCGAAUUUCCGUAACUCUCCGGUACUCCGAAAAAUACCCGAAUCACUCGGAACCUUUCCGAUGUCCGAAUAUAGUCGUCCAAUAUAUCGAUCUUUACGUCUCGACCAUUUUGAGACUCCUCGUCAUGUCCCCGAUCGCAUCCGGGACUCCGAAAUCCUUCGGUACAUCAAAACUCAUAAACUCAUAAUAAAACUAUCAUCGAAACAUUAAGCGUGCGGACCCUACGGGUUCGAGAACUAUGCAGACAUGACCGAAACACUUUUCCGGUCAAUAACCAAUAGCGGAACCUGGAUGCUCAUAUUGGCUCCUACAUAUUCUACGAAGAUCUUUAUCGGUCAAACCGCAUAACAACAUACGUUGUUCCCUUUGUCAUCGGUAUGUUACUUGCCCGAGAUUCGAUCGUCGGUAUCUCAAUACCUAGUUCAAUCUCGUUACCGGCAAGUCUCUUUACUCGUUAUGUAAUGCAUCAUCCCGUAACUAACUCAUUAGUCACAUUGCUUGCAAGGCUUAUAGUGAUGUGCAUUACCGAAAGGGCCCAGAGAUACCUCCCCGACAAUCGGAGUGACAAAUCCUAAUCUCAAAAUACGCCAACUCAACAAGUACCUUCGGAGACACCUAUAGAGCUCCUUUAUAAUCACCCAGUUACGUUGUGACGUUUGGUAGCACACAAAGUGUUCCUCCGGUAAACGGGAGUUGCAUAAUCUCAUAGUCAUAGGAACAUGUAUAAGUCAUGAAGAAAGCAAUAGCAACAUACUAAACGAUCAAGUGCUAAGCUAACAGAAUGGGUCAAGUCAAUCACAUCAUUCUCGUAAUGAUGUGAUCCCGUUAGUCAAAUGACAACUCAUGUCUAUGGCUAGGAAACUUAACCAUCUUUGAUUCACGAGCUAGUCAAGUAGAGGCAUACUAGUGACACUAUGUUUGUCUAUGUAUUCACACAUGUAUUAUGUUUCCGGUUAAUACAAUUCUAGCAUGAAUAAUAAACAUUUAUCAUGAAAUAAGGAAAUAAAUAAUAACUUUAUUAUUGCCUCUUGGGCAUAUUUCCUUCACGUCGCCUUCCUUGUUGAUGGCAGGAUCGAGGGGCUUGGGGCGGCGGCGGAGGGGACACAUGCUCCUUGAGGUCUAGUACAAUACCCUUGGUCGGAACUCUCUGUGUCCCCGCUUCCCUCUCGCGUUGCCUCCUUCGCCGGUCCCUCCGGGCGAAGUUCUCUGGCUUGCAGCUCGGUUCCACGGACGGGAGCCCCACAGACAAUGCUGAGGCAACAUUUGUUAUGGUGGUGAGGGACAGGUACACAGCAAAGAUAUCUAGGGCGGCAGAUGGGGGAGGAAGGGUGGACGAUGGUGAUGGCUAAGAUGCUGGAAAUAGUGGAAGGACGCGUGAGGAUAGCAGUGUAUUUGGUGCAGCUUAAGGUGGGUUUGCCCGGUGUGGUCCGACAUGGCAGACGUGCCUGGGCGUGUCCGGGCCUCCCCAUAUCCGACCCAAAUUUAGACUAGUUAUGAGGGAUACCAGUCAGCCCGGAUGUAUAGGACCGGUAUGAGGAGCCCGUCUGGAUUAGGUUUUCUUUGAGCGGUCGAUGAUUGGGUUGUCCGCCCAAACAUAUAGGGGGUUUUGCGGAGCCCGCCUGUAGAUGCUCUUAAUGCACAAAGAGUGUUUCUCCUCCAGCACUUGUGUUGGUGUCACUUGAUCAAAUUUGGUCUAUGGACACCCAAAAAAAUUGUCUAUGGACAGUUGGACCUGGCUACGCCAUUGGUGUUGCCAUGCCCAUGCCCACUCAAAUCAUUCGUUUUGUCUUGCUACUUCACCCGAAUAGCACGGAUGCAGCCAGUCCCCAUGUGUUGGUGUCAGUUGAUCAAAUUUGGUCUAUGAACACCCAAAAAAUUGUCUAUGGACGGCUGGACCUUGCUACGUUGUUGCCGUUGCCAUGCCCAUGCCCACUCAAAUCACCAGUUUUGUCUUGCUGCUUCACUUGAAUUGCACGAAUGCAGCCGACGCCGGGGACCGGCUGGAGAUUUUUUUUUGUCUUCCAUACAAGCACGACUCGCCAGCUGAACAAGCCUUUGGUCCAGACUCAGCCCUCAAGGUUGGUCGACGACAGAGCUUUCCACGUCGUGCCCUAUGGCCAUGGGACCAGGCGUAUCUAACGGCCGUUCGAUACACGGAGCAACCACAUAAUUCUUUGAAAGAAAAAAAGAAAUAAACAAACAACCACGCAGAACGCGUGGUUAGCAAUCACAAGGCUUUAUCCGUAGAUACAAUCGCAGGACUCUUUGGAACCACGAGCAUCACUGCUGUGACACCUCGUGGUUAAUCGGCGGUGGUGUCCGAAGGUGUUCUGGACAAGUGCUAGUAAGAGCAGUCGCUCCUAGACGCUCCGCCUCCUAGCCGCUGGUGGCCACUAAGGCCCCGGCGUCCACGCACUUCUGCAACAACAGCCGACAGUAAUCUCUCCACUACUCCAUCUAGGGUGCCAUCUCAUCUCCAUGGCCCUCGCAGAUCUCAACUUCGACGUCGGGCAGGACUUCACUGCCGAGGUUUGGGGGAAAUGGGGAGUUCCCAUCAACUAUGAAGAUGGCAAGGACCUCGAAGAGUUCGUACUGGUUGCCGAAUUCACCAGAUCUCAGCUCAGGCUCACGGAAGAAUCUGUAAGCACAACUCUUCUCUCAUGCUUUGGAGAGAGAGCAUCUCUUUUUAAAGUUAAGUUACUACAAAAUUGGUCGUUCAAGUUCUCCGUCUCCUCUAAAGAGGUGGGGUUUUCGAUCAUCAAAGAUGGCAACAUCUCGAUCCCCCUCUUGAAUAUCAAUUUCUUACUUUGGGGAAAUGGUGGCCCUAACUCCAGCUGGGAAUUAGAUCAGUACCUCAAAGAAAAAGAGGAUAAAUGGACUCAUAUCUUUCGCCGUCAUCCUCGAAAAUCUUACGUGCAAGCAUUGCAAUCUCCCAGAAUCUAUUUAGACCCCCUCCUUCCGAUCCUAGAUCCACCAGACUUGUUUAGAUCUCUCAUUGUCGGGCUCGAUCACCGAGACAUAAUCAUGGUGCUUGAGUUACUACUAGGAGGACGGGAUCAGCGCAAUUUCAAACUCCAUCUCGCCUGUUUUGUGUCCUGCUGCCUCCUCUCGGGCCACAUCAGGCCCAACUGCUCGAAUAGAAUCAAAUGUCGGGCCUGCAAGCGAUGGAUCCACAUUGCACGAGACUGCUACUCACUAGCUAAGCCCAUCCCAACAGCUGAGAAUAUCUCGCAGCUCAUCCAGACGCUUGCGAUUCCGAGGCAAGCACCCAUUGUUCCCGCGACGGUGACUAAUCAGGAGGCCAUUCAACCUACCAACCAAGGUCUCCCAGUUAUUCCGCUUCGACAGACUCACCGUGUCGACAACCAUAAUCACAGCACCUCCCAAAACUCCAUCUCUCACCGUCUCCAAGCAGCCAGAAUCCGCCCAAAUCCAGUCCCCCCAUUGGUACCAUCUGCUACAUCGAUCACUCCGACGGUUGCAAAGACAAUGGCGGCAUUUCUUUUCGAUCUGACGACAUUCCUCCCACCUAAUUACCAGAGCAUCCAGGUUGUGGGUUGCCCUUCCCGGAUUAGAGUCAUUACGGGUGCUGCGCAGUGAUGCAUGAGGAAUGGGCGAUUGCGACGAUCAUCCCGGUGCCUAAUCUGUUGGUGGCAUUCAACAGCAUCCGCGAGGUAUUGUCAGGUUUUCUUGCUGAUAACCAGUUGGGCUUCUCUGAGAUUGAGCCACGUCCUUUCGAGCAAGCAUAUGUCAAGUUCAAUAGUGUCUUUGAUAGAGAUGAUAUGGUCAACCGCAGUCCACACCAGUUUAUAGAUGUCCAUGUCAUCUUUCAAAAACAUGACAGGGGUUUGAAUUGGAGAAGCUUGGUUCUUAAUAGAGAUGCUUGGAUCCUGUUAUCUGGAUACCCUUUUGACAGAAGGAACAUACAAGAAGUUAGUAAUGCAGUCAGUAAGUUUGGAAAAUUCCUUAUGUGGGACAGAGUCCGUAGCACAAGAGUUAAUCUGAUGGUGAAGGUCAGAGUGGAAGGACUAAGAGACAUUCCUAGCAGUAUUGUGAUGGGAGAGGGAUAUGAAUUUCACACUGGAUCACUAACAGUACCAGUGGUUAUCAUAUAGCAUGAGAUUUUGGGUGCAGAGACACCAGAUGAAGAUCCAGUGGCACCACAUGGGAACUGAUACGUCUCCAACGUAUCUAUACUUUUUGAAUGUUCCAUGCUAUUGUAUUAUCAUUCUUGGAUGUUUUACAAUCAUUUUAUAGUCAUUUAAAUCAAUUUUUGGUACUAACCUAUUGGCAUAGUGCCUAGUGCCAGUUGUUGUUUUCUGCUUGUUUUUUACAUCACAAGAAAUCAAUACCAAACGGAGUCCAAACGCAGUAAAACUUUUUGUGGAUUUUUCUGGACCAGAAGACACCUAUUGGGCCAAAGAAGUACCAAAGGAGUGCUCGGAGGGGAGAACAACCCACCAGGGCGCACCUGGGGCCCACCUCGGUGGCCUCCUGCACUGCCUCUUUGCUCUAUAAUUACCCCAGUAUUCCAGAAACCCUAGGGGAUUCGACGAAAAUCAAUUCCAGCCGUCGCAAGUUCUAGAAACACCAGAUCCAAUCUAAACACCAUCAUGGAGGGGUUCAUCAUGUCCAUUGGUGCCUCUCCGAUGAUGCGUGAGUAGUUCUUUGUAGAUCUAUGGGUCCGUAGUUAGUAGCUAGAUGGCUUCCUCUCUCUCUCUCUCUCUCUCUCUCUCUCUCUCUCUCUCCCUCUCUUGAUUCUCAAUACGAUGGUCUCUUGGAGAUCCAUAUGAUGUAAGUCUUUUUGUGGUGUGUUUGUUGGGAUCCGAUGAACUUUGGAUUUAUGAUCAAAUCUAUGUUUUUUAUCCAUGAAAGUUAUUUGAGUCUUCUUUGAUCUCUUAUAUGCAUGAUUGAUUAUAGCCUCGUAUUUCUUCUCCGAUAUUUGGGUUUUGUUUGGCCAACUUGAUCUAUUUAUCUUGCAAUGGGAAGAGGUGCUUUGUGAUGGGUUCGAUCUUACGGUGCUUGAUCCCAGUGACCGAAGGGGAAACGAAAGGAUAACAAGAUGGGGUCUAUUUCUACAUAAAUAGAUCUUGUCUACAUCAUGUCAUCGUUCUUGUUGCAUUAAUCCGUUUUUCCAUGAACUUAAUACACUAGAUGCAUGUUGGAUAGCGGUCGAUGUGUGGAGUAAUAGUAGUAGAUGCAGGUAGGAGUCGGUCUACUAAUCUUGGACGUGAUGCCUAUAUAAUGAUCAUUGCCUGGAUAUCAUCAUGAUUAUUUGAAGUUCUAUCAAUUGCCCAACAGUAAUUGUUUUCCCACCGUUUGCUACUUUUCUCGAGAGAAGCCACUAGUGAAACCUACGGCCCCGGGUCUCUUCCUUAAUAUAUUUGCAUUCACGAUCUAUUUUCCUUUGCUUUUAUCUUCAGUUCUAUUAAACUAAAAAUACAAAAAUACCUUGCUGCAUUUUAUUUUAUUUGCGAUCUAUUUAUCCUACCCAUUACAACUUUAUCCUGUCUCCGUGCCAAUUUCUAGCGCUGUUGCCCAAAAGGGAUUGACAACCCCUUUAACACGUCGGGUUGCGGGUAUUUGUUAUUUGUGUGCAGGAGUUUUUUAUGUUGUGUUGCGUGGUUCUCCUACUGGUUCGAUAACCUUGGUCUCAUCACUGAGGGAAAUACCUACCGUAGCUGUGCUGCAUCAUUCCUUCCUCUUUGGGGAAAUACCGACGUAGUUCUAGCAGACAUCAAGAACCCACACCCAGUGCCUCAUCAGGCCUAUUUCCAUCCUAAUCAACAUAACCACUUUUUAGGUCCACUACAGGAGCAUGAGCAAGAUGAUCAACAGGCACCUGCACCACCAAUCCCUCAAGUUAAUCUGCAACUGGCACUUCAUGGUGCUGUUGAUGACCCUGCUCUGCUUGAAGAUGACAAUGUGGAGGAAGAUCAUGAUCCCAUGCCAGGAUGGGGCCAUUGGGCUAUGCCACUACAAGCAGAUGUGGAAUUGCAUGCAUGCGAAAUUUUGCCUAUAAAUGAGCUCAUGGAACCACUGUAAGAGAAUAACCCAGCUAUGGAGGCCAACAACAGCAUCACACUCUCUAUGGGCCCCUCUGAUGCUAGUGCUGUUGAUUCCUAUUCUGCCUGAUUUAAAUCUGGAGGUUGUUCCCAAUGGCCCCAAUGCAGGAAUAGGCCCAACUAGCUGAGCAGUUGAAUAAUAUGGUUUUGCCCUUCUAGGCCCAAGAACCACAAUUGGAGCCAGAGCCCAGCAUGGAGGCAAUCCCUCGGCAUUCUAUUGUCACACUGAGAGACCUAUUGGAAGAUCCUAUGUUCUUUGAGCUCCUGGCCCAUGACACAUCUAGCAGCAAGGGAGCCACUAUAAGAAACUCUCCUACUCUAAUGCUUCAAAUCACAGGACAUGAGACACAUAUAGCAAACAAAGACAAAACAGAUACGUAUCACCUAGGCUUUAUUGAGAAGACUGAUCAGGCAAGGAAUGAGAACACAUACCUGAUUAUAUCUGAUACAACUCCAUAUUUGGGACCCAAUUCUAUUCAGCCAGAUACAGGUGAGCAAGAGGUUUCAGAUAUGACUGCGCCCCCUGGAUGUCUAGUCACUUUAUUUGAUAAUCUAGCACAUAAUACAGGGGCUGCAUUACCUUCAAGAAUGGAAGGUACAUAACAGGUACUUAAUGAUAUCACUAUGGACAACAUGAGCACUAAAGAGAAGCUUAUUGGAAUAUAAGGUGCAAAGGUUUGGAAGAAACACUUUGCUCCAACUCAAGAUAGCAAAGAGGUCAUAUAGGUACCAGUGUAUUGGGUGAAUUUCUUGUCAGUUACACUUUUAUCACCAGAUAAAUUUGAUUGUCUAAAAGAUUCAUUUCCUCUACUAUUUGGUCUAUCAUUUGUCAAGAAGCUACCUCAACAACACUUCCAUUUUCCAUCCCCUGGCACUGUCAGAAUGAUAACACUCUUUGUAUGUUCUUUGCCUACAUAAAGCACCAAGGAGCAACUGAUCUCACCAUCUGCAGAGAACAACUCUACCAAGGUCAUGUCUGCAUCAUCCACCACUGCUCUUCACAGGAACAAGAAGAGAAAAGAAAAUGUACCUUUGGUUGAAACGUAGGUAAGGAGAAGUUGCGGACUUCAGAAAAUAAAGAAAGGAUUUAAGAAAUCUAUUUGUAAAGAUAGAGACUGUCUAGCAUGUCAUGCAGCUCCUCCACUGAUCCCUCCCAAAAUGAUUAAAAGUUUAAAUACCUCUUUUUGCAAGGUCUCUGACAAGGACACCACUAAUGAACUCCUUACCAAGAGACCCAAGAAAACCAAGAGUGACAACACUACUAUGGAGGGCAAGAAGAAGGCAAGGGAGCAGAGCAAGAAGUGGAUCUAGUUUCUUCCCACUAGACCACUAGUAGAUGCUAGCUAGUUUCUAUGUUUAAUGAGACUUUUGCUUUUGUCUCCAUGGGAUGUAAGACUAAGUUAUACUUUUGAUGUGAUGCUUGUGAGGUAGAUGUUUUGGAAGUUGGCUCAAUAGCUUGUUUAAGCAAGAGACAAUCAUGGACCAGUUGUUGGAAAUAUGCCCUAGAGGCAAUAAUAAAAGUAUUAUUAUUAUAUUUCCUUGUUCAUGAUAAUUGUCUUUUAUUCAUGCUAUAACUGUAUUAUCCGGAAAUUGUAAUACAUGUGUGAAUACAUAGACCACAAUAUGUCCCUAGUGAGCCUCUAGUUGACUAGCUCGUUGUGAUCAACAGAUAGUCAUGGUUUCCUGGCUAUGAACAUUGGAUGUCGUUGAUAACGGGAUCACAUCAUUAGGAGAAUGAUGUGAUGGACAAGACCCAAUCCUAAGACUAGCACAAAGAUCGUGUAGUUCGUUUGCUAGAGCUUUGCCAAUGUCAAGUAUCUCUUCCUUUGACCAUGAGAUCGUGUAACUCCUGAAUACCGUAGGAGUGCUUUGGGUGUAUCAAACGUCACAACGUAACUGGGUGACUAUAAAGGUGCACUACAGGUAUCUCCGAAAGUAUCUAUUGUUUUAUGCGGAUCGAGACUGGGAUUUGUCACUCCGUGUAAACGGAGAGGUAUCUCUGGGCCCACUCGGUAGGACAUCAUCAUAUGCGCAAUGUGACCAAGGAGUUGAUCACGGGAUGAUGUGUUACGGAACGAGUAAAGUGACUUGCCGGUAACGAGAUUGAACAAGGUAUCGGUAUACCGACGAUCGAAUCUCGGGCAAGUAAAAUACCGCUAGACAAAGGGAAUUGAAUACGGGAUUGAUUAAGUCCUUGACAUCGUGGUUCAUCCGAUGAGAUCAUCGUGGAACAUGUGGGAGCCAACAUGGGUAUCCAGAUCCCGCUGUUGGUUAUUGACCGGAGAACGUCUCGGUCAUGUCUGCAUGUCUCCCGAACCCGUAGGGUCUACACACUUAAGGUUCGAUGACGCUAGGCUUAUAAAGGAAGCUUGUAUGUGGUUACCGAAUGUUGUUCGGAGUCCCGGAUGAGAUCCCGGACGUCACGAGGAGUUCCGGAAUGGUCCGGAGGUAAAGAUUUAUAUAUAGGAAGUCCUGUUUCGGCCAUCGGGACAAGUUUCGGGGUCAUCGGUAUUGUACCGGGACCACCGGAAGGGUCCCGGGGGCCCACCGGGUGGGGCCACCUGCCCCGGGGGGCCACAUGGGCUGAAGUGGGAAGGGAUCCAGCCCAAAGUGGGCUGGGGCGCCACUUCCCUCAUGGCCCAUGCGCCUAGGGUCAAAGGGGAACCCUAAGGAAGAGUCCUAGGAGGGGAAGGCACCUCCUAGGUGCCUUGGGGGGGGAGGGAAUCCCCUCCUUGGCCGCACCCCAAAACCCAUCUAGGGCUGGCCGCCGCCCCUAGGGGGUGGGAAAACCCUAAAGGGGGCGCAGCCCCCUUCCCCCCUAUAUAUAUGAGGCCUAGGGGCUGCCCAUAACACGCGAUUUGAUCUCUCGUUGGUGCAGCCCUGCCCCUCUCCCUCCUCCUCUUCUCCCAUGGUGCUUGGCGAAGCCCUGCGGGAUUGCCACGCUCCUCCACCACCACCACGCCGUUGUGCUGCUGCUGGAUGGAGUCUUCCUCAACCUCUCCCUCUCUCCUUGCUGGAUCAAGGCGUGGGAGACGUCACCGGGCUGUACGUGUGUUGAACGCGGAGGUGCCGUCCGUUCGGCACUUGAUCAUCGGUAAUUUGAAUCACGACGAGUACGACUCCAUCAACCCCGUUCACUUGAACGCUUCCGCUUAGCGAUCUACAAGGGUAUGUAGAUGCACUCUCUUUCUACUCGUUGCUGGUCUCUCCAUGGAUAGAUCUUGGUGAUACGUAGGAAAAUUUUUGAAUUUCUGCUACGUUCCCCAACAGUGGCAUCAUGAGCUAGGUCUAUUGCGUAGAUUCUUUGCACGAGUAGAACACAAAGUAGUUGUGGGUGUUGAUGUUGUUCAAUAUGCUUACCGUUACUAGUCCAAUCUUGUUUCGACGGUAUUGUGGGAUGAAGCGGCCCGGACCGACCUUACACGUACUCUUACGUGAGACAGGUUCCACCGAUUGACAUGCACUUGGUGCAUAAGGUGGCUAGCGGGUGCCAGUCUCUCCCACUUUAGUCAGAACGGAUUCGAUGAAAAGGGUCCUUAUGAAGGGUAAAUAGCAAUUGGCAUAUCACGUUGUGGUCUUGCGUAGGUAAGAAACGUUCUUGCUAGAAACCCAUAGCAGCCACGUAAAACAUGCAACAACAAUUAGAGGACGUCUAACUUGUUUUUGCAGGGUAUGCUAUGUGAUGUGAUAUGGCCAAGAAGAAUGUGAUGAAUGACAUGUGAUGUAUGAGAUUGAUCAUGUUCUUGUAAUAGGAAUCACGACUUGCAUGUCGAUGAGUAUGACAACCGGCAGGAGCCAUAGGAGUUGUCUUUAUUUUUUGUAUGACCUGCGUGUCAUUGAAGAAUGCCAUGUAACUUACUUUACUUUAUUGCUAAACGCGUUAGUCAUAGAAGUAGAAGUAGUCGUUGGCGUGACAACUUCAUGAAGACACGAUGAUGGAGAUCAUGGUGUCAUGCCGGUGACAAGAUGAUCAUGGAGCCCCGAAGAUGGAGAUCAAUGGAGCUAUAUGAUAUUGGCCAUAUCAUGUCACAACUAUUUGAUUGCAUGUGAUGUUUAUCAUGUUUAUGCAUCUUGUUUACUUAGGACGACGGUAGUAAAUAAGAUGAUCCCUUACAAAAUUUCAAGAAGUGUUCUCCCCUAACUGUGCACCGUUGCUACAGUUCGUCGCUUCUAAGCACCACGUGAUGAUCGGGUGUGAUGGAUUCUUACGUUCACAUACAACGGGUGUAAGACAGUUUUACACAGCGAAAACACUUAGGGUUAACUUGACGAGCCUAGCAUGUGCAGACAUGGCCUCGGAACACGGAGACCGAAAGGUCGAGCAUGAGUCGUAUAGUAGAUACGAUCAACAUGAAGAUGUUCACCGAUGAUGACUAGUCCGUCUCACAUGAUGAUCGGACACGGCCUAGUUGACUCGGAUCAUGUGAUCACUUAGAUGACCAGAGGGAUGUCUAUCUAAGUGGGAGUUCAUAAGAUGAACUUAAUUAUCCUGAACAUAGUCAAAAGACCUUUUGCAAAUUAUGUCGUAGCUCGCGCUUUAGUUCUACUGUUUUAGAUAUGUUCCUAGAGAAAAUAUAGUUGAAAGUUGACAGUAGCGAUUAUGCGGACACUAGAACGCUUAUGUCCUUAAUGCACUGCUCAGUGUGCUGAACCCCAAACGUCGUUUGUGGAUGUUUCGAACAUCGAACAUACACGUUUUGAUAACUACGUGAUAGUUCAGUUAAAUGGUUUAAGUAGAGGCACCAAAGACGUUUUCGAAACGUCGCGGAACAUAUGAGAUGUUUCGAGGGCUGAAAUUGGGAUUUCAGGCUCGUGCCCACGUCAAGAGGUAUAAGACCUCCGACAAUUUUCUUAGCCUACAAACUAAGGGAGAAAAGCUCAAUCGUUGAGCUUGUGCUCAGAUUGUCUGAGUGCAACAAUCACUUGAAUCAAGUGGGAGUUGAUCUUCCAAAUGAGAUAGUGAUGUUUCUCCAAAGUCAUUACCGCCAAGCUGCUAGAGCUUCGUGAUGAACUAUAACAUAUCAGGGAUAGAUAUGAUGAUCCUUGAGGUAUUCGCGAUGUUUGACACCGCGAAAGUAGAAAUCAAGAAGGAGCAUCAAUUGUUGAUGGUUGGUGCAACCACUAGUUUCAAGAAGGGCAAGGGCAAGAAGGGAUACUUCAUGAAACGGCAAAUCGGCUGUUGCACUAGUGAAGAAACCCAAGAUUGAACCCAAACCCGAGACUAAGUGCUUCUGUAAUAAGGGGAACAGCUACUGGAGCAGCAUUACCCUAGAUACUUGGUAGAUGAGAAGGCUGGCAAGGUCGAUAGAAGUAUAUUGGAUAUACAUUAUGUUAAUGUGUACUUUACUAGUACUCCUAGUAGCACCAGGGUAUAAGAUACCGGUUCGGUUGCUAAGUGUUAGUAACUCGAAAUAAAAGCUAUGGCAUAAACGGAGACUAGCUAAAGGUGAGUUGACGAUAUGUGUUGGAAGUGUUUCCAAUGUUGAUAUGAUCAAGCAUCGCACGCUCCCUCUACCAUCAAGAUUUGGUGUUUGCGUUGAGCAUAGACAUGAUUGGAUUAUGUCUAUCGCAAUACGGUUAUUCAUUUAAAGAGAAUAAUGGUUACUCUAUUUAUUUGAAUAAUACCUUCAAUGGUCUUGCACCUAAAAUGGAUGGUUCAUUGAAAUCUCGAUCGUAGUGAUACACAUGUUCAUGCCAAAAGAUAGUAAUGAUAGUACCACCUAUUUGUGGCACUGCCACGUAAGUCAUAUCGGUAUAAAAUGCAUGAAGAAGCUCCAUGUUGAUGGAUCUUUGGACUCACUCAUUUUUGAAAAGUUUGAGACAUGCGAACCAUGUCUAUUGGUAUAUAUGCAUGAAGAAACUCCAUGCAAAUGGACCGUUUGAACUCACUUGAUUUUGAAUCACUUGAGAUAUGCAAAUCAUACCACAUGGGCAAGAUGACUGAAAAGCCUCGGUUUCAGUAAGAUGGAACAAGAUAGCAACUUGUUGGAAGUAACACAUUUUGAUGUGUCCAAUCCAAUGAGUGCUGAGGCAUGCAGUGAAUAUCGUUAUGAUCUUACUUCACAGAUGAUUCGAGUAGAUGUUGAGAAUAUUUACUUGAUGAAACACAAGUCUGAAUUAUUGAAUGGUUCAAGUAAUUUCAGAGUGAAGUAGAAGAUCAUUGUGACAAGAGGAUAAAAUGUCUAUGAUAUGAUCAUAGAGAUGAAUAUCUGAGUUAUGAGUUUUGGCACACAAUUAAGACAUUGUGGAAAUUGUUUCACAAUUAACACCGCCUGGAACACCAUAGUGUGAUGGUGUGUCCGAACAUCAUAGUUGCACCCUAUUGGAUAUGAUGCGUACCAUGAUUUCUCUUAUCGAAUUACCACUAUCGUUCAUGGGUUAGGCAUUAGAGACAACCACACUCAUUUUAAUAGGGUACCACGUAAUUCCGUUGAGAUGACACCGGUUUAGAGAAACCUAUGCUGUCAUUUCUUAAAAGUUUGGGGCUGCGACGCUUAUGUGAAAAAGUUUCAGGAUUAAAGCUCGAACCCAAAGCGGAUAAAACGCAUCUUCAUAGGACACCCAAAACAGUUGGGUAUACCUCCUAAUUCAGAUCCGAAAGCAAUAUGGAUUGUUUCUUGAAUCGGGUCCUUUCUCGAGGAAAGGUUUCUCUCGAAAGAGUUGAGUGGGAGGAUGGUGGAGACUUGAUGAGGUUAUUGAACCGUCUCUUCAACUAGUGUGUGACAGGGCACAGGAAGUUGUUCCUGUGGCACCUACACCAAUUGAAGUGGAAGCUUAUGAUAUUGAUCAUGAAACUUCGGAUCAAGUCACUACCAAACCUCGUAGGACGACAAGGACACGUACUACUUCGGAGUGGUAAGGUGAUCCUGUCUUGAAGGUCAUGUUGCUAGACAACAAUGAACCUACGAGCUAUGAAGAAGCGAUGGUGGGCCCGGAUUCCGAUAAAUGGCUCGAGGCCAUAAAAUCCGAGAACGGAUCCAUGGACUUUGGUGGACUUGCCCGAUGAUCGGCAAGCCAUUAAGAUAAAUGGAUCUUUAAGAAGAAGACGGACGUGGAUGGUAAUGUCACCAUCCAUGAAGCUCGACUUGUGGCAAAAAGUUUUUCACAAGUUCAAGGAGUUGACUACGAUGAGAUUUUCUCAUCCGUAGCGAUGCUUAAGUCCGUCGGAUUCAUGUUAGCAUUAGCUGUAUUUAUGAAAUCUGGCAGAUGGAUAUGAAAACGAGUUUCCUUACCAGUUUUCGUAAGGAAAGGUUGUAUGUAAUACAAUCAGAAAGUUUUUUGUCGAUCCUAAGGAUGCUAAAAGGUAUGCUAGCUCCAGCAAUCCUUCUAAGGACUGGAGUGAGCAUCUCGGAGUUGGAAUGUAUGCUUUGAUGAUGAUCAAAGAUUUUGGGUUUGUACAAAGUUUAUGAGAAACUUGUAUUUCAAAAGAAGUGAGUGGGAGCACUAUAGAAUUUCUGAUGAGUAUAUGUUGUUGACAUAUUGUUGAUCAGAAAUGACGUAGGAUUUCUGGAAAGCAUAUAGGGUUAUUUUGAAAGUGUUUUUCAAUGGAAAGCCUGGAUUAAGCUGCUUGAGCAUUGAGCAUCAAGAUCUAUAAGGAUAGAUCAAAACGCUUAAUGGUACUUUCAAAUGAGCACAUACCUUGACAUGAUCUUGAAGGUGUUCAAGAUGGAUCAGUCAAAGAAGAAGUUCUUGCCUGAGUUGUAAGGUACGAAGUUAAGACUUAAAGCUCGACCACGGCAGAAUAGAGAGAAAGGACGAAGGUCGUCCCCUAUGCUUAAAACGUAGGCUCUUCAGUAUGCUGUGCUGUGUACCGCACCUGAAGUGUGCCUUGCCAUGAGUCAGUCAAGGGGUACAAGAGUGAUCCAAGAAUGGCUCACAGACAGCGGUCAAAGUUACCCUUAGUAACUAGUGGACUAAGGAAUUUUCUCGAUUAUGGAGGUGGUAAAAGAGUUCGUCGUAAAGGUUACGUCGAUGCAAGCUUAACACCUAUCCAGAUAGCUCUAAGUAGAGAUACCGGAUACAUAUAUUGGAGCAACAAUUUAGAAUAGCUCCAAGUAGAACAGUUAUUUGGAACAGCUCCAAAUAGAGAGUGGUAGCUGCAUCUAGGAGAUGACAUAGAGAUUUGUAAAGCACACACGGAUCUGAAAGGUUCAGACCCGUUGACUAAAACCUCUCUCACAAGCAACAUGAUCAAACAUAAAACUCAUUGAGUGUUAAUCACAUAGUGAUGUGAACUAGACUACUGACUCUAGUAAACUCUUGGGUAUUAGUCACAUGGCGAUGUGACCUGUGAGUGUUAAUCACAUGGCGAUGUGAACUAGAUUAUUGACUCUAGUGCAAGUGGGAGACUGUUGGAAAUAUGCCCUAGAGGCAAUAAUAAAAGUAUUAUUAUUAUAUUUCCUUGUUCAUGAUAAUUGUCUUUUAUUCAUGCUAUAACUGUAUUAUCCGGAAAUCGUAAUACACGUGUGAAUACAUAGACCACAAUAUGUCCCUAGUGAGCCUCUAGUUGACUAGCUCGUUGUGAUCAACAGAUAGUCAUGGUUUCCUGGCUAUGAACAUUGGAUGUCGUUGAUAACGGGAUCACAUCAUUAGGAGAAUGAUGUGAUGGACAAGACCCAAUCCUAAGACUAGCACAAAGAUCGUGUAGUUCGUUUGCUAGAGCUUUGCCAAUGUCAAGUAUCUCUUCCUUUGACCAUGAGAUCGUGUAACUCCUGAAUACCGUAGGAGUUCUUUGGGUGUAUCAAACGUCACAACGUAACUGGGUGACUAUAAAGGUGCACUACAGGUAUCUCCGAAAGUAUCUAUUGUUUUAUGCGGAUCGAGACUGGGAUUUGUCACUCCGUGUAAACGGAGAGGUAUCUCUGGGCCCACUCGGUAGGACAUCAUCAUAUGCGCAAUGUGACCAAGGAGUUGAUCACGGGAUGAUGUGUUACGGAACGAGUAAAGUGACUUGCCGGUAACGAGAUUGAACAAGGUAUCGGUAUACCGACGAUCGAAUCUCGGGCAAGUAAAAUACCGCUAGACAAAGGGAAUUGAAUACGGGAUUGAUUAAGUCCUUGACAUCGUGGUUCAUCCGAUGAGAUCAUCGUGGAACAUGUGGGAGCCAACAUGGGUAUCCAGAUCCCGCUGUUGGUUAUUGACCGGAGAACGUCUCGGUCAUGUCUGCAUGUCUCCCGAACCCGUAGGGUCUACACACUUAAGGUUCGAUGACGCUAGGCUUAUAAAGGAAGCUUGUAUGUGGUUACCGAAUGUUGUUCGGAGUCCCGGAUGAGAUCCCGGACGUCACGAGGAGUUCCGGAAUGGUCCGGAGGUAAAGAUUUAUAUAUAGGAAGUCCUGUUUCGGCCAUCGGGACAAGUUUUGGGGUCAUCGGUAUUGUACCGGGACCACCGGAAGGGUCCCGGGGGCCCACCGGGUGGGGCCACCUGCCCCGGGGGGCCACAUGGGCUGAAGUGGGAAGGGAUCCAGCCCAAAGUGGGCUGGGGCGCCACUUCCCUCAUGGCCCAUGUGCCUAGGGUCAAAGGGGAACCCUAAGGAAGAGUCCUAGGAGGGGAAGGCACCUCCUAGGUGCCUUGGGGGGGAGGGAAUCCCCUCCUUGGCCGCACCCCAAAACCCAUCUAGGGCUGGCCGCCGCCCCUAGGGGGUGGGAAAACCCUAAAGGGGGCGCAGCCCCCUUCCCCCCUAUAUAUAUGAGGCCUAGGGGCUGCCCAUAACACGCGAUUUGAUCUCUCGUUGGUGCAGCCCUGGCCCUCUCCCUCCUCCUCUUCUCCCGUGGUGCUUGGCGAAGCCCUGCGGGAUUGCCACGCUCCUCCACCACCACCACGCCGUUGUGCUGCUGCUGGAUGGAGUCUUCCUCAACCUCUCCCUCUCUCCUUGCUGGAUCAAGGCGUGGGAGACGUCACCGGGCUGUACGUGUGUUGAACGCGGAGGUGCCGUCCGUUCGGCACUUGAUCAUCGGUAAUUUGAAUCACGACGAGUACGACUCCAUCAACCCCGUUCACUUGAACGCUUCUGCUUAGCGAUCUACAAGGGUAUGUAGAUGCACUCUCUUUCUACUCGUUGCUGGUCUCUCCAUAGAUAGAUCUUGGUGAUACGUAGGAAAAAUUUUGAAUUUCUGCUACGUUCCCCAACACCAGUAACUGGGUUGAUUAUUUAUCUGAGUCUCAGUUGCAGUUCUUUGCACUUUGAUGGAUAGAGACUGGAACAUCCUGAAUUGGAAUAUUAGAGGCAUUAAUGACCCUAAAAAUGGACACCUUUGGCUAAUAAAAUUGAGGAAUCUCAAUGCUCUAUUAUAUGCUGGCAAGAAACUAAGAAAGAAUCAUUUGACACCUCAUACCUGAAGAAUUUAUGUCCCAGAAGGAUUGCAAAAUUUGCAAUUUUUUCCAUAUAUAGGUGCAUCUGGUGGCCUCUUAGUUGCAUGGAAUGAGAAUCUAUUCACUGGUCAGGUCUGUCACUCAAAUGAAUUUUCCCUAUCUAUCCAAUUCACAUCCAAUCACAAUGGAGACACUUGGAUCUUAACCAAUGUCUAUGGUCCCUGCCAACACUCUGAAAGGAUCCAAUUCCUGGACUGGUUUCAAAAUUUGCAAAUGCCUGAUGACUCACACUGGCUUAUUAUGGGUGAUUUCAACUACAUUAGAUACCCACAUAAUAGAAGCAGGGAAGGGGUAUGAUGUCUACUACACAACCUUCUUCUUGUAGACGUUGUUGGGCCUGCAAGUGCACAGGUUUGUAGGACAGUAGCAAAUUUCCCUCAAGUGGAUGACCUAAGGUUUAUCAAUCCGUGGGAGGCGUAGGACGAAGAUGGUCUCUCUCAAACAACCCUGCAAUCAAAUAACAAAGAGUCUCUUGUGUCCCCAGCACACCCAAUACAAUGGUAAAUUGUAUAGGUGCACUAGUUCGGCGAAGAGAUGGUGAUACAAGUGCAAUAUGGAUGGUAGAUAUAGGUUUUUGUAAUCUGAAAUAAUAAAAACAGCAAGGUAACUAAUGAUAAAAGUGAGCGUAAACGGUAUUGCAAUGGUAGGAAACAAGGCCUAGGGUUCGUACUUUCACUAGUGCGAGUUCUCUCAACAAUAAUAACAUAGAUAGAUCAUAUAACAAUCCCUCAACAUGCAACAAAGAGUCACUCCAAAGCCACUAAUAGAGGAGAACAAACGAAGAGAUUAUGGUAGGGUACGAAACCACCUCAAAGUUAUUCUUUCGGAUCAAUCUAUUCAAGAGUUCGUACUAGAAUAACACCUUAAGACACAAAUCAACCAAAACCCUAAUGUCACCUAGAUACUCCAUUGUCACCUCAAGUAUCCGUGGGCAUGAUUAUACGAUAUGCAUCACACAAUCUCAGAUUCAUCCAACCAACACAAAGUACUUCAAAGAGUGCCCCAAAGUUUCUACCGGAGAGUCAAGAAAACGUGUGCCAACCCCUAUGCAUAGGUUCAUGGGCAGAACCCGCAAGUUGGUCACCAAAACAUACAUCAAGUAGCACGUGAUAUCCCAUUGUCACCACAGAUAAACACGGCAAGACAUACAUCAAGUGUUCUCAAAUCAAAGACUCAAUCCGAUAAGAUAACUUCAAGAGGGAAACUCAAUUCAUCACAAGAGAGUAGAGGGGGAUAAACAUCAUAAGAUCCAACUAUAAUAACAAAGCUCGUGAUACAUCAAGAUUGUGCCAUAGAGAGAACAUGAGAGAGAGAGAGAGAUCAAACACAUAGCUACAGGUACAUACCCUCAGCCCCGACGGUGAACUACUCCCUCCUCGUCGUGGAGAGCGCCGGGAUGAUGAAGAUGACCACCGGUGAUGGGUUCCCCCUCCGGCAGGGUGCCGGAACGGGCUCCCGAGAGGUUUUUCGUGGCUACAGAGGCUUGCGGCGGUGGAACUCCCGAUCUAUCUUGAUAUUCGAUGUUUUUAGGGUACGUAGGCUUAUAUAGGCAAAAGAAGUCGGUCGGGGAAGCCUCGAGGGGCCCACGAGAGGGUAGGGCGCGCCCAGGGGGUGGGCGCCCCCCCGUCUCGUGGCCUCCUCGAUGAUCCCCUGGCUUGCACUCCAAGUUCCUGGGAUUGGUUCUGUUCCAAAAAUAACUUUGCCGAAGGUUUCAUUCCGUUUGGACUCCGUUUGAUAUUCCUUUUCUUCGUAAUACUGAAACAAGUCAGCAAUAUGGGCUGGACCUCCGGUUAGUAGGUUAGUCCCAAAAAUGAUAUAAAUGUGUAAAAUAAAGCCCAUAAACAUCCAAAAGGAGUAAUAUAAUAGCAUGGAACAAUCAAAAACUAUAGAUACGUUGGAGACGUAUCAAGCAUCCCCAAGCUUAAUUCCUGCUCAUCCUCGAGUAGGUAAAUGAUAAAAACAGAAUUUUUGAUGUGGAAUGCUACCUAGCAAAAUUCUCAAUGUAAUUUUCUUCAUUGUGGCAUGAAUGCUCAGAUCCAAAUAAUUCAAAAUAAAAGUUCAUAUUGACAUAAGAAAUAGUGAUACUUCAAGCAUACUAAUCAAAGUAAUCAUGUCUUCUCAAAAUAACAUGGCCAAAGAAAGUUAUCCCUGCAAAAUCAUAUAGUCUGGCUGUUGCUCUAUCUUCAUCACACAAAGUAUUUAAUCAUGCACAACCCCGAUGACAAGCCAAGCAAUUGUUUCAUACUUUAAUAAUCUCAAACUCUUUCAACUUUCACGCAAUACAUGAGCGUGAGCCAUGGACAUAGCACUAUAUGUGGAAUAGAAUGGUGGUUGUGGAGAAGACAAAAAAAGAGAGAAGAUAGUCUCACAUCAACUAGGCGUAUCAACGGGCUAUGGAGAUGCCCAUUAAUAGAUAUCAAUGUGAGUGAGUAGGGAUUGCCAUGCAACGGAUGCACUAGAGCUAUAAAUAUAUGAAAGCUCAACAAAAGAGACUAAGUGGGUGUGCAUCCAACUCACUUGCUCACGAAGACCUAGGGCAUUUUGAGGAAGCCCAUCAUUGGAAUAUACAAGCCAAGUUCUAUAAUGAAAAAUUCCCACUAGUAUAUGAAAGUGACAACAUAGGAGACUCUCUAUCAUGAAGAUCAUGGUGCUACUUUGAAGCACAAGUGUGGAAAAAGAGAUAGUAGCAUUGUCCCUUCUCUCUUUUUCUCUCAUUUUUUUCUUUUUUUAGCCUUUAUCUUUUUUUCUUUUUUUUUGUAAAGUCCGAAGUCUCAUCCCGACUUGUGGGGGAAUCAUUGUCUUCAUCAUCCUUUCCUCACUAGGACAAUGCUCUAUUAAUGAAGAUCAUCACACUUUUAUGGAUUUACAACUCAAAGCUAGAACAAGAUAUGACUCUAUAUAAAUGCCUCCGGCGGUGUACCGGGAUAUGCAAUGAAUCAAGAGUGACAUGUAUGAAGAUUAUGGAGGUGGCCUUGCCAAAAAUACAAUGUCAACUACAUGAUCAUGCAAAGAGCAAUAUGACAAAGGUCAUGCGUGCCAUAUGAAGGAAACGGUCGAAAGUUGCAUGGCAAUAUAUCUCGGAAUGGCUAUGGAAAUGCAAUAAUAGGUAGGUAUGGUGGCUGUUUUGAGGAAGGUAUAUGGUGGGUAUAUGGUACCGGCGAAAGUUGCGCGGCACAAAAGAGGCUGGCAAUGGUGGAAGGGUGAGGGUGCGUAUAAUCCAUGGACUCAGCAUUAGUCAAAAGAACUCAUAUACUUAUUGCAAAAAUCUAAAAGUCAUCAAAAACAAAGCACUACGCGCAUGCUCCUAGGGGGAUAGAUUGGUAGGAAAAGACCAUCGCUCGUCCCCGACCGCCACACAUAAGAAAGACAAUCAACAAAUAAAAUUGUGCUCCAACUUCAUCACAAAGCGGUUCACCAUACGUGCAUGCUACGGGAAUCACAAACCUCAACACAAGCAUUUUUCAUAAUAACCUCAACUAGCAUGACUUUAAUAUCACUACCUCCAUAUCUCAAAACAAUUAUUAAGCAUCAAAUUGAUCAUAGCAUCCAAUUCACUUUCUGUGAUAGUUUUUAUUAUACCCAACUUGGAUGCUCAUCAUUCUAAGACCAACUUUGUAACCAUAGAAAAUACCAUGUUGUUCUAAAAGACUCUCAAAAUAAUAUAAGUGAAGCAUGAGAGACUAGGAAUUUCUACAAAAUAUAACCACCGCCGUGCUCUAAAAGAUAUAAGUGAAGCACUAGAGCAAACGACAAACUACUCUGAAAGAUAUAAGUGAAGAUCAAUGAGUAGUCAAAUAGUUGUGAAACUAUGUAAAGACUCUCUAACAUUUAAGAAUUCAUAUAUUGGUGUUGUAUUCAAACAGCAAGCAAAACAAAAUAAAAUUACAUUGCAAGGAUAGCACAACUCAUGUGAAGAAGCAAAAACUUAGGCUCAACCGAUACUAACCGAUAGUUGUUGAAAAAGAAAGGUGGGAUGCCUACCGGGGCAUCCCCAAACUUAGAUGCUUGAGACUUCUUGGAAUAUUAUCUUGGGGUGCCUUGGGCAUCCCCAAGCUUGAACUUUUGUUUCUCCUUAAUUCCUCUCAUAUCAUGGUUUCUCUUUUUAUCAAAAGCUUCAUCCACAACAAACUCAACAAGAACUCGUGAGAGAGGUUAGUAUAAACCAAUGCAAAACCUUAUCAUUUUCUACUGUAGCAAAUCACUAAAAUUAUUAUUCAACAUUUCAUACUAAAUGUCUCUGAAUAUUUAAUACUCCUAUCCUUAAAUAAAAUCAUUAAACAAGCAAACAUAUGCAAACAAUGCAAACAUAACAGCAAUCUGUCAAAACAGUACAGUCUGUAAAGAAUGCAAGAAUAUCAAUACUUCCCUAACUCCAAAAAUUAUUAAAUAAAAUUCCCAGUGCAGUAAAUUUAUCAGAGCUCAUUAUGCAAAAAGUUUCAACAUUAUAUCGUGCUCUUACUUUUCUAGGGAAUUUUUGCAACAACGGUAAACUUUCUUUUUUCAAACAGCAACAUGUAUGCUAGCAAAAUAAGUGUGGCAAAGGCUAUCCUUGACCUUUUUAUUGAAAAUAAAGAUGCAAAACAUUAUUAUAAAUAACAGAAAGCAAAUACUAACAAAAGAAAAUGACGCUCCAAGAAAAACACAUAUCAUGUGGUGAAUAAAAAUUAUAGCUCCAAGUAAAGUUACCGAUGAACGAAGACGAAAGAGGGGAUGCCUUCCGGGGCAUCCCCAAGCUUAGGCUUUUGGAUAUUCUUGAAUAUUACCUUGGGGUGCCUAGGGCAUCCCCAAGCUUAGGCUCUUGCCACUCCUUAUUCCAUAGUCCAUCGAAUCUUACCCAAAACUUGAAAACUUCACAACACAAAACUCAACAGAAAACUCGUAAGCUUUGUUAGUAUAAGAAAAUAAAACCACCACUUAGGUACUGUAAUGAACUCAUUCUAAAUUCAUAUUGGUGUAAUAUCUACUGUAUUCCAACUUAUCUAUGGUUCAUACCCUCCGAUACUACUCAUAGAUUCAUCAAAAUAAGCAAACAACACAUAGAAAACAGAAUCUGUCAAAAACAGGACAGUCUGUAGUAAUCUGUAUCACACGUAUACUUCUGGAACUCCAAAAAUCCUACAAAAUUAGGAAGUCCUAAGAAAUUUGUGUACCAAUACAGAGCAAAAAGAAUCAGAUAAGAAGAACGUUUCUGUGAAUUAACGAAACUAAUUUACUGGGUGCAAAAGUUUCUGAUUUUCAGCAGGAUCAACACAACGAUCACCGUAAGCUAUCCUAAAGGUCUUACUUGGCACUUUAUUGAAAAAAAGCUAUAAAAUAUGAUUACUACAGUAUCAUAAUCAUGUGAACACACAAAAACAGUAAAGGUAAAUAUUGGGUUGUCUCCCAACAAGCGCUUUUUUUAAUGCCUUUCUAGCUAGGCAUGAUGAUGGCAAUGAUGAUUACAUAAAAGAUAAGAAUUGAAACAUAACGGAAGCAUCAUAAAGCAUAUGACUAGCACAUUUAAGUCCAGCCCACUUCCUAUGCAUAGGGAUUUUGUGAGAAAACAACUUAUGGGAACAAUAAUCAACUAUCAUAGGAAGGCAAAAUAAGCAUAGCUUCAAGAUUUUCAACACAUAGAGAGGAAACUUGAUAUUAUUGCAAUUCCUACAAGCAUAUGUUCCUCUCUCAUAAUAAUUUUCAGUAGCAUCAUGAAUGAAUUCAACAAUAUAACCAACACCUAAAGCAUUCUUUUCAUGAUCUACAAACAUAGAAAAUUUACUACUCUCCACAUAAGCAAAAUUCUUCUCAUUCGGAAUAGUGGGAGUAUCAUAAGAGACUUGAACACUAAAAAUUGUUUCCACAUUAAAAGAGUAAUGUUCAGAAAAAGGGUAAUCAUAAUCAUGAAAAGUUUUAUAAAUAUAAUCAUAACUACUUUUUAUAGCAUAAGUUUCAUCACAAUAAUCAUCAUAAGUAGCAACUUCGUUCUCAUCAUAAUCGAUUGAAACCUCUUCCAAGAUAGUGGAAUCAUCACUAAAUAAAGUUGACACUCUUUCAAAUCCACUUUCAUAUUCAUCACAAUAAGAUUCAACAUUCUCCAAAAUAGUGGGAUAACUACUUCCUAAAGUUGACACUCUUCCAAACCCACUUUUAUCAAUAUAAUCAUCAUAAAUAGGAGGCAUGCUAUCAUCAUAAAAAACUUUGCAUAUCAAAACUUGGGAUACUAAAAAUAUCAUCUUCAUUAAACAUAGCAUCCCCAAGCUUGUGGCUUUGCAUAUCAUUAGCAUAAUCACUCUCAUCAUUAAAAAUAUGGAUAGCACCAAUAGUAUAGCAAUUAUCAUCAUCACAAUGAGUAGUAGGAGCAACAUCAUUCGGGAGAGAUACCUUUUUACCUUUGUUGCUCCUUCAUAUCAAUAAUCUAAUAUUCCCUUACCUUUAAUGAGUAGUAUAACUGAUAUGCUUGCUUUCAACGAAACACAAUUUCCAUCGUUUAUGUUUUUAGGGUACGUGGGACUAUAAUGGAACUAUUAUGCGUGGUUUAGAUUAUUGCUAAUCCACAAGUUUAGAUUAUUGCUAUGACGCAUAAUCACUCAUAAUGGAAAUUGGAAUCUAAUAUUCCCUUCCUUCAUAUCAAUAAUCUAAUAUUCCCUUACCUUUUAUUGAGUAGUAUAACUGAUAUGCUUGCUUUCAAUGAAGCAAUUAAUAGCCAGGCCCUCAUUGAAAUUCCUCUCAAAGGAAGAAGUUUUACAUGGAGCAACAUGCAAGCUGCCCCACUACUAGAAAAGUUGGACUGGUGUUUCACUUCUGAAGCUUGGACCCUCAAAUAUCCUGCUACAUUUGCCAUUCCACUUGCUAAAACUACCUAUGAUCAUGUGCCAAUUAGAAUUCAAAUUGGGUCUUCUAAUUCCAGAGAAAUAUCUUUAGAUUUGAGAACUUCUGGCUAGAACAUCCUCAAUUCAAAGAGGUUGUCAGUAAUAUUUGGACACGGGAUGUGGAGGCUAGUGACAGUGCUAAAGUGAUAGCUAUUAAAUUCAAGAGACUGAGAAAAUGUUUAAAGAACUAGGCCAGAAAUCUUUCUGACUUAAAAAUAAUAAUUGUAGACACCAACUUCAUGAUCAUGUGCUAUGAUACCAUAGAGGAGUUCAGAGUGCUUUCCUUAGAGCAGUCCAAUGCCAAAGCCAUCUCAAACUUCAUCUUGAAGGCAUUCUAGAGAAACAGAGGAAAUAUUGGAAGUAGAGCGCCACCAUCAGGGGAAAAAAAGUUGGAGAGGCCAACACUAAAUAUUUCUAGGCUAGGGCUACCAUCAAGUUCAGAAACAACACCAUUACCAUGUUGAGAGAUGAACAUGGGCAUGAACACCAUGACCAUCAGGCUAAGGCCACAAUUCUAUAUAGAGCUUUCAAAGAUCGAAUGGGGACAUGCUCUCCUACCACAAACCCACUCAACCUGCAUCAACUGCUACAACCCAUGGAAGAUUUGUCUAAACUUGAAGCACCUUUCACCAAAGAGGAAAUUGAUAAUAUGAUCUAACAGAUGCCUGCAGAAAAAUCACCAGGGCCAGAUGGUUUUAAUGCUUCUUUCCUUAAAAACUAUUGGGAGAUCAUUGUUGAUGACUUCUAUAAACUCAUAGAAGAUUUCCACUCAGGACAGAUCAACAUUCAGAGUAUUAAUUAUUCUUUCAUCACUCCGAUUCCAAAGAAAUAUUAUGCAGCAACACCAGCUGAGUUCAGGCCCAUUCAUCUCUUGAAUUGUACCAUCAAGAUCAUCACCAAACUAUUAGCAAACAGACUGCAAAAGUACAUCCUCAAGAUGGUGCAUAAGAAUCAUUAUGGUUUCUUGAAUAGUAGAUGUAUACAAGACUGCCUUGCAUGGUCAUAUGAGUAUAUUCAUCAAUGCCACCAGAGAAAGAAAGAAAUCAUUCUACUUAAACUAGACUUUGAAAAGGCAUUUGACAUGCUUAACCAUGACACCAUCAUAGAAGUUUUGCAAGCUAAAGGUUUUGGAGCUAAAUGGAUUCAUUGGAUUAAGAUGAUCUAUGGUACUGGCUUCUAUUUGUACUUCUUAAUGGGGGUGCCAGAAAAGCAAUUCUUAUGCAAGAAGGGGGUUAGGUAGAGAGACCCAUUAUCACCACUGACUUUUGUGAUUGCAGCAGAUAUUCUACAAUCUAUCCUCAAUGAAGCCUGCCAUGCUGCUAUGAUAGAAACACCAUUGUUUCAUACCUCUUACACAGACUAUCCAAUUAUCCAAUAUGUUGAUCAUACCGUUUUGGUGGCCAAGGCUGAUGACAGACAACUGAUGCACAUUAAGAAUCUCCUGCUGCAUUAUGCUGAGUACACAGGGCUAAAAGUUAAUUACUCUAAGUCCAUUAUGAUUUCUAUCAACACUCCUGCACAGAAGAUGAGUGAAUUAUCCAACCUCCUGGGCUGCAAGAUUCGAUCUCUUCCUCGUACUUAUCUGGGGCUACCACUCUGUCUGUCCAAGCCAAGGGUAGAGGACUUUGUUCCCAUGCUAAAACGUAUUGAGAGUAGGUUGUUGAGUUGUUCCACUAUGUUGUCCACUGGUGACAAGUUAACCCUGGUGAAAUCAGUUUUCACUAAUCUACCCACAUUUUUCAUGUGCACCUUGGAAAUUCCAAAGACAGUGAUCAAACAAAUCAACACAUAUCUAAUGAACUAUUUUUGGAGGAAAUAUGGUACACAAGAAAGAGGGACAGUCCACAUUUCAUGGGACCCAGUCUGCAAAUUCAAAGAUCAGGGAGAUCCACAACCAAGCUCUGCUCAUUAAAUACCUUCAUAAAUUCUUCAACAAGAUUGAUACUCCAUGGGUACACAUUAUCUAGGAAGCUCACUAUCAAGACAAAUUACCAAAUGACACCAAGGCUGGAUCAUUCUGGUGGAGGACAGUUCUAAAACUUCUUCCUACCUUCAAGCAGCAUGCAGUGUGUAAGGCAGGUCAAGGGAACACAAUUCUCUUCUGGUCUGGUAGAUGGCAAGACACACCACUUUCUAUCAAAUACCCAGAACUUUUCUCAUUUGCUAUUCAGCAGAAUAUAACUCUUCAGAGAGCACUGGAACACAAUGAUAUCAACCUCCUAUUUCAAAGACCCAUGUCACGGGAAGCUUUUGCUCAAUAGAAUGAAUUGCAGACUUUAAUCAAUGAGAGACCGUUAGUAACUGGACACGACAACUGGUCUUACACUUGGGAGGCUCCUAAGUACUCAUCUAGGAAGAUGUACAAAGCUAUUCAGUGAUAUAAUCUAGCACACAGCACAUUCAGACUCCCGUGGAAAACACCUUGUCGGCUGAAACAUAAAAUCUUCUUUUGGUUAUUGUUGCAUGACAGAAUCAGCACCCGAAAUAUACUACACAGAAGAAGCGUGUAUCUUGAGGACUAUAACUGUGCCCUCUGUGCUGAAACCACUGAAGAAACGGUGACUCAUCUCUUCCGGGACUGCCCCUUUGCACUGAUGUGUUGGAUGCUAUUGCACCCAAUAAACAUCGAGGCAUGUCGACCUAUGAUGAAAUCUACCUCAUAUUGAAAUCACUACCCUCAGAACUUGCUAUGGAUACCAUUGUCAUGGGCUGCUGGCAGAAAUGACGAGAUUUUCAGAAGAGCCACACCAUCAGUGAAUACUUGGAAAUUUUAUUUGAGAGAAGGAAUCAGAGCUGUAGAAUUAAGAGCAAAGACUGAUAAGGCAGACAAAAUCCACGGUUGGACAGAGAAUAAUCUUUAAUCCCGUAGAUGUUUCAUAGAACGGACAUUGGUUCAAUGGCCAUUUUAUUUUAUUUUACUUUUGUAAUUGUACAUGUUAAUUAAUAAAAAUUUACCGUAGAACAAUUCUUCUACGGUUUCGCCUAAAAAACGAGCAUCACUGCUGCGUCGCGUCGCAGGACUGUUCUUCAGAAUCAGAACCGAAACAGGGAAGCAAUCAAUCACAAAGAGUAUAUCUCAUAGCAUGAUAGCAUGUGUGAGAUUUAUGUGAUGUUGCCGUGUGAACCACUGUUGCGUGCGCUCUCAGGUCGGCAGGACGGAGCGUCGUCUCCCUCCCGUGUAUCAUCAGCACGAGUUAUUGAGUUGCUCCUCCAUCCGUUGAGGCGUUCCGUUAAGAUCGAGGCGGAGUAAAUCUCGUGCUCCCUGGCACGGCACGCAUCUCGUUUCAAACGUCACGUGCAAAUGCCAGGAAACGCGUACGCGCGCGCUCCGUGGCACCACGACGGCAUUGCACUUGCCAACGUUCCGGCCAACUCUCGGCUGGAAAUCCGCAGUGCGUGCAUUGAAUUUGAACCCAUGGCUGCACAUGAGACGGGAGGGACCGGGGAUAUUGCCCCGGCCCCCGGCCACGCACAUCAAUUCUUGCAUAGUACUACAGGCAUGGGCGAGAAAUAAAUUGGCGGUAGUAGCUCCCGUUUGCAAGAGAGACAAGUCGAGGCUCCGAAAGCUUGGCCUCACAUUCACAAGCACAGUUUCCAGGAUUAUUGGCGUACACUGGGCUGCUUGCGACGCUCAAACGCAACUUUCAGCAUUACACUGUGCAAGAUUGCUGGAUUUGGACCGCUAACAACGCUGACCACAGCUUGGAGACCACAACAUGACAGUGAGACUGGACCUGGAAGGACCAAAGCACACGGAAACUUGAUGAUACCCCGCGCGUUGCUACCGGAAUCGAUUGCAAUAUAUAUUUCAAUAAGAUUUGAUUUAAUGGAAUAUAAUUAUUUAAUUAAUAACAUAUGAAUCAAAAUUUAAAAUACAUACACCUUAUUAGAUUCGAUUAUGUAUAGUUGUGAAAUAUUUAUUUGAGUAAGUAGAAUAACAAAAUAAAUAAAUAAAUCCCAUACAUGGUUGUAUGUGGUUGUGAGUCUUUUUCAUGCAUGGUUGCAUGUUGAGGUGGUCUUAUGCCAUACAUAAUUGUAUGUGAUACGACAUGUUUGCAUUGAGGAUGACUCGUUUAGGUAUAUACUACAUGAUACUCCCUCUGUAUAAAAAUAUAAGACUUCUUUGAUACAUAUUGUAUCAAAAAACAUCUUUGAUACAAAGGGAGUAUUGCAUAAGUGUCGACCACAAGACAUACGCUGUUGCGGAACUGUUUGCCUUACUGCAAUUCUAGAAGAUCCCACAAAAAUUCGUCAUGCAAAAACAGUAUAUGGUUCCCCCUAAACAGGAUUUGCAGUACCGCGUGGCAUCGGGCACAACAGAUCCCGCAAAAAUCAUCAACGAUCAAAUGUGGAGCCCACUAGUCUAUAGUUGAAUUUACCACAAGGUCCUUCAUGAUAGUAUAUAGAUUGGAAUUGGGUCCUCUCUCUCACAUCACAUCCACACAUUCGUCUCGCAGAGUGCACCAAGCAGAAGUGCAGGAUUCUACAGGGGCCUCCACCGGAUCGAGGAGGGGCGGCCUUCACCAGAUCGAGUGGUGUCUACGGCAGCCUCCUGCUCACGCCCGAGGCAAGUUACUGCUGCGGACAAGCGACAGCUUGUGGCCGAGCUCCUACGGCGGGGCGGACGCGGCCGAGCGAGCAGCAGCCCAAAGGCGGGGCGGACGCGGUCGAGCUCCUGCUCCCGCUCGAUUCCUCAGUAUCGUACGCUCCUCUGGCUGGCCACCGCUUCUCUUCUAUUUGGCCGAAAUCGAGCUCAGCAGGUGGCAACGCUAGUGGCGCCGGGUCCGACGGGAGCGGUUGGUGCUAAAAAUUCCCUCCCACCAAAGAUAGAGGAAACUACAAAACCAUGAUGAAAAACUGAAGAUAUGGCAUACGCGGGUCGAAAUAUACAGCUCCCCGCAAAAAAAAUUAGAGCAAGAGCUGAUAUAUGUUACGUUUUUUGUCCUGAUACCGUAUAUCGACGGUUAUUUUGCGUGAUGCAUAGAUUUGCAGCAUAUGCUAGAGUUGCUCUUACCACACCUUUUCCUGUGGAUGAGCUCCAACAGAGUGGACAACCUUGGUCGACAGAGCAAGCAAGCAAGCAAUCAUCCACUCUCAGAGAGAAAUAAAGUCACGAGAAAGAACAUCCAUCUAAACGUUGGAGUACUCAAAAAAGUUGCCCUUCCUUCGACGAUCAGUUAUUCCGCCAUAAACACCAAAUGGUCUACAACAACAUGACACGGACGGGGGAAGAUGACGCCAAUGCAAUGACAGACGCACACACAACACACGCGGCCAUGUCCACGGCCACGGACACCAACGACGACCGCCGGCCAAACCUAAGCCGACGACUAGAACGCAGAGAAAAAGUAAAGACGGAACUGACCAAAGUCACGGACACGCUACUCUUCCUUGCACCACUCAACUCUUCUAGCAUUGGCACGGUAAUAGUAGUCUUCUUUUGUGCCCAAAUGCCCUCUGCUAUCUAAAGACUAACCAUAUGGACUGUAGGUAGAUGGAUGGAAUUACUUGGGAGGAUCUCUUCUCUGAGUUCUUUCUCGAGCACAGUUGAUGGAUCUUGGCGGCUAGAACUUGUUGCUGUACCAGAAGACCCCCUUGCGGUCCUCGGGCUCGACAUAGAUGCACUCCUUGGCCUCGCGCCAUGUGGCCUUGGCGACGGGGGUGGGGUCGAAUUGGUAGUACUCGCCGAGGAUGGGCUUGAUCGCCUUGGUGGCCUCCAUGGCGUGGUAGUGCGGCAUGGUGGAGAAGAGGUGGUGCGCCACGUGCGUGUCUGUGAUGUUGUGGAACACGCGGUUGAGGAUGCCGUAGUCGCGGUCCAUGGUGGCGAGCGCCCCGCGCAGCCAGUCCCACUCCGUCGAGUCGUAGUGCGGCAGCGCCGGGUGGGUGUGCUGCAGGUAGGUGAUCAGGACCAGCCACGCGUUCACGAUCAGCAGCGGCACGCCGUAGACCCGCACCACCCACCAGAACCCGAACGACGAC
rnacentral:lncRNA from 1 species